UUAGCACUCUGGACUCUGAAUCCAGC
rnacentral:piRNA from 6 species